rnacentral:lncRNA from 1 species
UUUAUUUCUUGGAGGUUUCUUUCUUUCCUUUUGUUAAUUCUUGUUGCUAGUGGUUCGUCGUAUGAAUUACGUUUGACUCUCUGUUUUCGAUCAGAAGACAAUAAAGGCGUAAGUUUCGAUGAUUAUUUUUCUGUUAUUGUUAGCUUUAACUCGUUCAAUUUUCAAGGUUGAGUUUUAGUUUUAGUUUUUGUUCUAUACUUUGUUAAGUGUUUUCAUGAUUUUGUUUAGGCGAAGGUUGUGAAAAUCGAAUACCUCUAGUGGAGUAAUUCUCGAAGUAAUUCUCAAUUUGGACGUUGCUUUUUGAGUGGUAAGAACUUAAAUUUCAAAUUUAAAGGCUAGAAACUUUGGUAAAAGUGUGUUAUAUUGGAUAGGUUUUUGAGGACUAAUUAGUGUGGUUUGAUGAACGAUUGUAGGAUUCGUGCGUUCCUCUAGAGCAACUGAUCAAAUCUGCCAUCACCUAUGUGAAACUAGCCGAUUUAUCGCUUGAAACUCGAGAAAAAUACGAAAUAGGGGUUGUUUUCGAAACUGCCCAACACCACAUUGCCAUGUGGUAGACUGAGUGUGAUUUUGCAACCCCUAUGGGUAGGCCGUGUGGGGCACACAGCCGUGUGAAAUCUUGUAGCUCAUGUGGGCCUUUUGAGCCAAUUCUGAGGUCUGAUUAAGGGACUCAGUAAUUGGAUCCAUGGGCAUUAUGUAGGCCCAGAAAAACGUAAGAUUCAGUAAACAAACAUGGAUAAGUGUAGUAGGUGUGUUAAAUAAGUUCUGAUAAGUAUAAUAAUGCGUUAUGAUUUGCUAUAAGUAGGUACGUGAAUUAAGCAUGACUAUAUUGUAAACCAUGUGUGUUAUACAUAAUAUGCUAUCUGUUCUGAUAAGCUUUUCUAUUUGACUAUGUAAUAUGAACAUAUGUUAUUGUGAUUUUGCAUGUACAAUGGGGUGGGUUAUGAUAUGAUGGAGGAAGUGUUAUAUGACAGUUUUUACUGCAAAUAUAUGGCGGCUAGACCGCAAAUUCCUAUAUGGCAGCUCAGCUACAUAUUUAUGAGUGGCACAUCGCCACAUUUUGGUGUGAUUGGAUGGAUGGACUCUUAUAGUCCUAUUUGGUAUUGGCUAGUUGGAGUUGGUGUGUAGCGAAUGGGGGUAGGAUCUGUGUCUAUAUUUGUUCCGGUCUAACAUGAUAUUCUGAUAUGAUAUAUGUGUUUCUGAAAUAUAACAUUAUAAAAAUUUCGUUCUGAUAUAUGUUUCUAAAAAUGUGAUAUGAUAAGCUCUGUUACAUUACAAGAUAUGCUCUGAUAUGUAAUAUGAUACAAAAUUUCGAUUUGAUUAUUGUAUAUGCAAAACUCAUAAGAAAUUAUGUUUGUGGGUUAAGUCACACACUGAGUAUCAAACUCACUCGUUUGUUUAAUAUGUUUCAGGUAAUCGUUUGACUUAGGACUGAAUGG